rnacentral:rRNA from 1 species
UACAGAGGUCUCAACCGUUGUUCGGAUUCAUUGGGCGUAAAGGGUGCGUAGGCGGUCGCGCAAGUCGGAUGUGAAAUCUUAGGGCUCAACCCUGAAACUGCACUCGAUACUGCGUGGCUCGAGUACUGGAGAGGAGACUGGAAUUUACGGUGUAGCAGUGAAAUGCGUAGAUAUCGUAAGGAAGACCAGUGGCGAAAGCGAGUCUCUGGACAGUUACUGACGCUGAGGCACGAAGGCCAGGGGAGCAAACGGG